AACAUGUCCUUUUGAUUUAAUUUAAGGUCUGACCUGCCCACUGAUCUUUAAAGGGCCGCGGUAAUUUGACCGUGCUAAGGUAGCAUAAUCAUUAGUUUUUUAAUUGGAAGCUAGAAUGAAUGGUUGGAUGAGAAAGUAACUGUCUCUAUUUAAUUUAAAUUGAAUUUUAUUUUUAAGUUAAAAAGCUUAAUUAAUUUUUAAAGACGAGAAGACCCUAUAGAGUUUGAUAGAUUAUAUUUAUUAUUAUUUUUUGAAAUUUUAUUUUAAUAAGAAAAAUUUAUUUAAUUGGGGUGAUUGUAAAAUUAAAUUAACUUUUAUUAUUUCUUAACAUAAAUUUAUGAUAGUUUGAUCCAUAGAGUUUGAUUAUAAGAUUAAAUUACCUUAGGGAUAACAGCGUAAUUUUUUUUGAGAGUUCUAAUCGAAAAAAAAGAUUGCGACCUCGAUGUCUGGAUUAAAAUUAAUUUUUGGUGUAGAAGCUAGAAAUAUUAGGUCUGUUCGACCUUUAAAAUUUUACAUGAUCUGAGUUUAAACCGGUGUGAGCCAGGUUGGUUUCUAUCUUGAAAUAAUUAAAUAUAUUUUAGUACGAAAGGAUCGA
rnacentral:rRNA from 1 species